rnacentral:rRNA from 1 species
CCAAUAGCGUAUAUUAAAGUUGUUGCAGUUAAAAAGCUCGUAGUUGAAUUUCGGGAUCAGUACGCUGGUCGUGCCUUUGGUAUGUACUGGUGUCACUGAUUCCUCCCUUCUGAAGAACCGUUAUGCCAUUUAUUUGGUGUGGCGGGAAAUCAGGACUGUUACUUUGAAAAAAUUAGAGUGUUUAAAGCAGGCUCGCGCUUGAAUACAUUAGCAUGGAAUAAUGAAAUAGGACGUUUGAUCUUAUUUUGUUGGUUUCUAGGAUCGACGUAAUGAUUAAUAGGGAUAGUUGGGGGCAUUAGUAUUAAAUUGUCAGAGGUGAAAUUCUUGGAUUUAUUGAAGACUAACUACUGCGAAAGCAUUUGCCAAGGAUGUUUUCAUUAAUCAAGAACGAAAGUUAGGGGAUCGAAGACGAUCAGAUACCGUCGUAGUCUUAACCAUAAACUAUGCCGACUAGGGAUCGGAUGAUGUUAAUUUUUUAAUGACUCAUUCGGCGCCUUACG